AUUGAACGCUGGCGGCAUGCCUUACACAUGCAAGUCGAACGGCAGCACGGGAGCAAUCCUGGUGGCGAGUGGCGAACGGGUGAGUAAAGUAUCGGAACGUACCUUUCAGUGGGGGAUAACGCAGCGAAAGCUGUGCUAAUACCGCAUACGAUCUAUGGAUGAAAGCGGGGGGUCGCAAGACCUCGCGCGAUUGGAGCGGCCGAUAUCAGAUUAGGUAGUUGGUGGGGUAAAGGCCCACCAAGCCGACGAUCUGUAGCUGGUCUGAGAGGACGACCAGCCACACUGGAACUGAGACACGGUCCAGACUCCUACGGGAGGCAGCAGUGGGGAAUUUUGGACAAUGGGCGCAAGCCUGAUCCAGCAAUGCCGCGUGCAGGAUGAA
rnacentral:rRNA from 1 species